UACGUAGGGUGCAAGCGUUGUCCGGAAUUAUUGGGCGUAAAGAGCUCGUAGGCGGUUUGUCGCGUCUGCUGUGAAAACUGGAGGCUCAACCUCCAGCCUGCAGUGGGUACGGGCAAACUAGAGUGCGGUAGGGGAGAUUGGAAUUCCUGGUGUAGCGGUGGAAUGCGCAGAUAUCAGGAGGAACACCGAUGGCGAAGGCAGAUCUCUGGGCCGUAACUGACGCUGAGGAGCGAAAGCAUGGGAGCGAACAGG
rnacentral:rRNA from 1 species